rnacentral:lncRNA from 1 species
GGCUGUUUCCUGUGGGAAGCAGUGUCAGAGCCUCUGCAUUCUGAAGGACAAUGAGAAGAGCAUCUCCCACGUCCUUCCUCGCCUCCUCUGCCUGCCGCUAAGCCUGACUUUUGUCUCCCCUGCGGAGAAAAACAGCUACCAGGAAUGUCAGCCCUCGAUUGCGUCACCACCGUUCAGCUCAAAGAUGGCGUUCCUGACGGUUUGUGUUUUCUAAAAUGCUGUGCUGAAGUCUACCCUUGGAAGACUGAGUUGCAGAGUUGGAAGGACAUCUGGGUUGACAUGUGAGAACCAGCACCUCAGUGACAUCCUGGACCAUGAAGGGGAAGCCAUAACUAGGAACACAGCUGAGAAGGCUGGAACCAAGCUGGGGCCCCGAUACCCAUGAGCCCACACACUGACAGGAGGACAACUGGUCCCCAGUUUUCAAUGUCACUGUCAAGCUUCAUGAAGUCUAUGGUUUGGGGCUUCCUCUCAAGGGGCUAUAUUAAUCCUAACCCAUGUGUAUGGUGA